CCUACGGGAGGCUGCAGUGAGGAAUAUUGGUCAAUGGGCGGAAGCCUGAACCAGCCAAGUCGCGUGAGGGAGUAAGGCCCUACGGGUCGUAAACCUCUUUUGCCGGGGAGCAGUGCCCAGCUCGUGAGCUGGGAGGGAGCGUACCCGGAGAAAAAGCAUCGGUUACCUCCGUGCCAGCAGCCGCGGUAAUACGGCGGAUGCGAGCGUUAGCCGGAUUUAUUGGGUUUAAAGGGUGGGCAGGCGGGCCUUCAGGCCGGCGGUAAAAUCGCGGGGCUCAACCCCGCCGAGCCGUCGGAACCGGGGGCCUUGAGUACCGGAGAAGUACGCGGAAUGCGUGGUGUAGCGGUGAAAUGCAUAGAUAUCGCGCAGAACCCCGAUUGCGAAGGCAGCGUACCGGCCGGUCACUGACGCUGAGGCACGAAAGCGCGGGUAUCGAACAGGAUUAGAUACCCGGGUAGUC
rnacentral:rRNA from 1 species